CUUGGAUUCCCAUGCUUGAUCGUCUCAAUUACUUCAACCAAGGGACUUUGACUCUAAAACCAAAUAUUGAAGAAUGUCAUAUGAAAUUUAUCAUUAGCUUUCCUUCAUUACUAUUGCCUAGGGCAAGAUUGAAUGUACCAUUUCUCAUUUUAACCUCCAGUAAUUGGAUUCAUGCAAAAAUUCCAUAUUCAAAUCUUCAUUACUAAUGUCUCGAAUUUACAAUUGUUGUAGUUGAUGGAACCUUAAAUUGGCUUGG
rnacentral:lncRNA from 1 species